GACGAACGCUGGCGGCGUGCUUAACACAUGCAAGUCGAACGGUAAGGCCCUUCGGGUACGACGAGUGGCGAACGGGUGAGUAACACGUGGUGAUCUGCCUGCACUUCGGGAUAAGCCUGGGAAACUGGGUCUAAUACCGGAUAGGACCAUGGACUUCACAGUUUGUGGUGGAAAAGCUUUUGCGGUGUGGGAUGGGCCCGCGGCCUAUCAGCUUGUUGGUGGGGUAAUGGCCUACCAAGGCGACGACGGGUAGCCGGCCUGAGAGGGUGUCCGGCCACACUGGGACUGAGAUACGGGCCCAGACUCCUACGGGAGGCAGCAGUGGGGAAUAUUGCACAAUGGGCGCAAGCCUGAUGCAGCGACG
rnacentral:rRNA from 1 species